rnacentral:ncRNA from 1 species
UGAGUUUAAAGGCAAACUAUUCGAAAGAAUAGGACGCAAAGCUAUGGGUCUAAGGUAGUGGUUUAGUGAUAAGCAACUAACUAUGACAGCCGGUUACCAAA